AGUCUCCCUCACGGAGGGGGCGUGGGAAAGUGCUCGUGAGGAACCCUGGGAAACUCGGUCCUCCGCCACCAUCUUGCUUUCUUUUAAGUCGGCUGUGACAGUGGAUCAGAGCAAUCUUGAGCCAUGAAGCUGCUAACCAGAGCCGGGUCUUUCUCGAGAUUUUAUUCCCUCAAAGUUGCCCCCAAAGUUAAAGCUACAGCUGCACCUACAGGAGCACCUCCUCAUCCUCAGGAUCUUGAGUUCACCAAACUACCAAAUGGUUUAGUGAUUGCUUCUUUGGAAAACUAUGCUCCUGCAUCAAGAAUUGGUUUAUUUGUUAAAGCAGGCAGUAGAUACUAGGACUCCAACAAUUUAGGAACCUCUCAUUUGCUGCGUCUUGCAUCCAGUUUGACUUCAAAAGGAGCUUCGUCUUUCAAGAUAACCCGUGGAAUUGAAGCAGUUGGUGGCAAAUUAAGGUUUG